rnacentral:tRNA from 1 species
GUUUGUCUAGCUUAGUUGGUAGAGCGUAAGGUUUUUAACCUUGUGUUCCUAGGUUCAAGUCUUAGGGUGGGUG